UCUCUGGGACUUUGAUUAAGUAGACAGAGCAUUACGGAAAAAGGGCAUGUGGGGCAAAGCUGCUCACCCCAGGGCAGCCAAGAAAUAGGAAGACAAAGGAAUUAAGGACAAAGUGUUCCCUCAUCAGGCGGCACACCCCAGUGACCUACUUCCUCCAACUAGAUCUCAUAUCCCAAAGAUUACAACCGACCAAGGACUGACCCAUCAGUUAGGUUAGAACACCUGUGACCUGGCUACUUCCCAGAAGCCCCACCCCUGUCACCACUGUGCAUUGACCGGGAACAAAGCCUGCGGCGCAUGAGUUUCGGGAAAGCUUUUCAUAUCCGAGUUGUAGCGUCUACCUCUGUCCUCCCAAAGGCCUUAUCCAUGUCAAUAAUACAAAAGAUGCCUUCAGCAAGCAGAAGAGAGCAUCAGAUCACUUGGAGCUGGAGUUACUGGCUGGAGUUACUAUGAGUUGCCCUGGUGGGAUCCAGGCUUACUUCUCUGCAAGUGCGGUAUGUGCUGUUGCCCUGAGCCAUCUCUCCAGCCCAGGAGAGCAAUGCUUUACUGUAGCGUUUUAGAAAGCAGUCUUUAAGCUCCACAUAAUCCACACACAGACACAGGUACACACAUGCACACACAUAUACAGACACACACACAUAUAUACACAGACACAGACAGACACACACAUACACAUACAGAGACACAGACAGAUACACACAGAGACACAGAACAUACACAGACGCACACACAGACACAGACAGAUGCACACAGAGACACAGAACAUACACAGACAUACACAGACACACACAUACAUAGACACAAACAGACAGACACACAAAUACACAUAAAUAAAUAAAUAAUAAAUAAAUAAAUAAAUAAAUAAAACCAGAUUUUUUUUUCAAAAGCCACUUAAACAUUCUUCAUGCACAGAUGGGCAAGUAAAUUACUCCUUAACUGGAGCAGUACGCAACUGAUAAGGAUGAACAGACGUGGUACAUAUGGGUCAACAGGGAAUCAUGCCCCAAACAAUGAAAGAGGGAGACCAGCAAGCUACUGGAGGAUAUGGACAAGGGUAUUUCAGCUGCCUGAUUAUAAAAUGUGAGACAAUGCUGCAUGUCACUGUGGCUGCAGAAAAAUACACAAAAGACUAAACCUUGGAUGGAAAAGAGGCCACUGCAGAUCAGUAAGAGAAAAGGUCGGAGACAAACAUGGAGUUUGGCAAAGGAAUAGACUCUUCCUAGAAUGGUGGCUCUCAGCCUUCCUGAUGCUGUGAUCCUUCGAUACAGCUCCUCAUGUUGGAGUGACCCCCAUCAUGAGAGAAUUUCUGUUGCUCACUUCAUAACUGUAAUUUUGCCACUGUUAGGAAUCAUAAUGUAAACUUGUGUUUUCUGAUGGCCUCAGAUGACCCCUGUGAAAGGGUCGCUCAGUCCCUGCAGCCCACAGGUCGAGAACUGCUGCUCUGUCAUGUGUGGGAGAAAAAUAAAACACAACCCCCAGUCAGUGUGCCAGGAAAAAGACAGUCAGCUAGAGCGGCAAGCCGCAGUGGGGAAGGAGGCCUGCGUCUUCCUGAGUGUGGGCCCAGGAAGGUUGGAGAAUGUUAAUAGAUGGUCUCCUUCACAGAACCCCCUCCAUGCACAGUAUAAACUGCAUCUCUAGCACUAAUCAACACUCCAAGGCAGAUGCUUCUCUUUACAGACAAUCCAGGGUUCAAAGAGACAUCACAAGGUCCUUCCCUGGGCCAAUUCCAGGCCUGUGGCCUCUAAUGUCCCGUUCAGCUCACAGCCUUGUGCUCAGAAGUCAAUCAAGAACCCAGUUCCUAUCCAAAACAAGAAUCAGCUACCCUCCCCAGCGGGAGAAGCCAGCGCUCACAGGGAAGGCAGGGCCCCUCCCCUUGUCCCAUGAUGUUUAUCAUUCAAGGGAGAAGGCUGUUGGGGACACAUGGUGUCUCAAGUGAAUACAGGAAGAGAAGCCCAGGGCCAGCCAGGGGAUAGAAGCCAAGUGCAACCACCCUGUCACUUCUGAGAGUGGGCGGUCCUUCUGUCCACACCCUGCUCUGUGUCCCUCCUCUCCUGACCCCUUUGUAGUCAGAACCAGAUCUAGCUACAACUAGGACACUAAGUCCUCAGGCCUCAGGAAUGCCUCUAUGACCUGUCUACUCCCUGAGACCAUGAUCCGCGGGGUCUGUGAAGUGCCGUCAGCCUGAUGUGUAUGUGUGUGACCCUUGUUCAUGGCGCAAUGCUGGGUGGAGCCACUGACGUGGACUGAUACCACAGAUGUACUCAGCAUAGUGAGUAAACACCGUGUGGAUGCGCCAAACAAGAUAAAUGGUAUUUAUUUGCUCAGCCUGUGUUUAGAGAGGACCCCGCUGCACCACCAGAGACCCACGGCUACUGGAAAUGCCUGCUGAGGUGGACGACGGUGGAGACCAGGGCAGGGGGAAGAAGAAAGUGAACCUGAGGCCAGAGAGGAUAACAAAAUAGCAGAGGCGCAUGAGCUGCCUCCUCAGCCUCAUCUCACCAUUUCUGUGGACCUGUCGGGAGGCUGCAAGCAAGAGCAAUCACCUUGUAGAGGCUGGACUGAGACUGGGGGCAUGGCAGUGUGGUCUGUUUCCAAGGCAGGUCACAUGCUUGGCUAGCACAUCACUGCUAGCUGUUGGGGCAGUGUUUCCAUUCAUCCCUACAGGGAACUACCCUAUGACUGCUGGAGUCUCCUCAGACACGGUGACUCUCUUCCUGAGAGUGGUGGUCCCAGAGAAAUAACCAGGGAGCCGCAAUACCCUCUACACCCCCACUUUGGGAAUGUACGCUCUGUCCUCCACGACAGCUUCUUGAUCACACAGGUCAGCCUGCUGCAGUAGGAGAGAGACCACAUGAGGUGUGAAUACCAGCACCAAGGAUUGCAGGGACCACCCCUGGCUGGAGGAGAUGAAGCGGCAUAAUCCCCUUGAGGAACAACUGGGUGUUAUUUCGAUGUGGUGAACGUGUGUCACCAUGAGGCUUAGCAAUAAAAGGAUUUGCCAAUUGUCA